GCGGCCUAUCAGCUUGUUGGUGAGGUAAAGGCUCACCAAGGCGACGACGGGUAUCCGGCCUGAGAGGGCGACCGGACACACUGGGACUGAGACACGGCCCAGACUCCUACGGGAGGCAGCAGUGGGGAAUAUUGCGCAAUGGGCGAAAGCCUGACGCAGCGACGCCGCGUGAGGGAUGAAGGUCUUCGGAUUGUAAACCUCUUUCAGCAGGGACGAAGCGAAAGUGACGGUACCUGAAGAAGAAGCACCGGCUAACUACGUGCCAGCAGCCGCGGUAAUACGUAGGGUGCAAGCGUUGUCCGGAUUUAUUGGGCGUAAAGAGCUCGUAGGCGGUUAGACACGUCGGAUGUGAAAACUGGGGGCUCAACCCCCAGCCUGCAUUCGAUACGGUCUGACUAGAGUGUGGUAGGGGAGACUGGAAUUCCU
rnacentral:rRNA from 1 species